rnacentral:lncRNA from 1 species
CUUUGCCCAACACCUUCAUAUUGUUGUGCAUUGAGUGCUCGAUUCGCAAUGAGGGUUUUGGCAUCCCUAGGUGUCUUAUCCACUAGAGCUCCUCCCGCGGAAGCAUCCAACAUUUGUCGUUCAAGUGGUAAAAGACCUUCGUAAAAGUAUUGAAGAAGUAGCUCCUCCUUCAUCUGAUGCUGUGGACAAGAAGCAACAAGUGAUUUAAAUCGUUCAUAAUA